ACGGGUGAGUAAUGCAUAGGAAUCUGCCUUAUAGACUGGGACAACUUGGGGAAACUCGAGCUAAUACCGGAUACCCUCUACGGAGGAAAGGAUGGGCCUUGAAAGAGCCAUUCGUUAUAAGAUGAGCCUAUGUCGGAUUAGCUAGUUGGUGGGGUAAAGGCCUACCAAGGCGAUGAUCUGUAGCUGGUCUGAGAGGAUGAACAGCCACACUGGGACUGAGACACGGCCCAGACUCCUACGGGAGGCAGCAGUGGGGAAUAUUGGACAAUGGGGGCAACCCUGAUCCAGCGAUGCCGCGUGUGCGAAGAAGGCCUGCGGGUUGUAAAGCACUUUGGUUGGGGAAGAAGGCUGGCAGAUGAAUAGUUCGUCAGAUUGACGUUACCCAAAGAACAAGCACCGGCUAACUCUGUGCCAGCAGCCGCGGUAAUACAGAGGGUGCGAGCGUUAAUCGGAAUUACUGGGCGUAAAGGGUGCGUAGGCGGUAUUUUAAGUUAGAUGUGAAAUCCCUGGGCUUAACCUGGGAAUGGCAUUUAAGACUGGAAUGCUAGAGUAGAGUAGAGGGAAGUGGAAUUUCCGG
rnacentral:rRNA from 1 species